GUGUUCACUUUGGUAGCACAUACACCUAAACUAGAAUGAUACAGAGAAGAUGAGUGUGCACCUUGUGAAUGGAUAACAUGCAAACCUGUGAAACAUCUCAUUCAAAU
rnacentral:snRNA from 1 species